ensembl:lncRNA
UCUCGCUCUCGUUUUUAUUAGAUUGUGAGGCUGGGGUCUACAUCUCCUGCUUGCGUUCUUAAUCUAUGUGCAUCAGGCUUGUGGUCUCUACUGGUUUCCUUAUUUGUUUAUUUUCUGUGCUUGUGAGGCCGGGGUCUCUCUUGCUUUCAACCUUUUUAUUAGCUUGUGAGGUUGGGACAUUUCUCCUAUUUUGGAUCUUUUAUCUUUUCCCGUGAGGCUGGGGUCUCUUGUCAGCAUACUCAAUGAGCUUGAAGCUAGGGGCUCUCUCGGGGGCGCGCGCUACCUCUAUGAAUUUGUGAGGCCGGGACCUUUUCCCGAGUUUGUUUAUGAAGCGGGGCCCUCAACCUCUUUGAGGACGGGGGCUCCGUUUCGCUUUUUCUUUGUGAGCCUAGGGGUGGGGGGAUGUCUCCUUCUCUUACUCUCGCCUUUGAGCGUGCGCGUGUGCGUGCGUGCGUGCGUGCGUGAGUCUGGGGUCUCUGGCUCGUACCUUCUUUGUAAUCGAGGCCCGGGACUUUCUUGGCUAUGACUUUACUUUCUUUGAGUGUGAGAGCCUGGGGUCUUCUUUGAUUCACUUUUCCUCACUCCUUUGGGGUGUGCGCGGGCUUGUGAAGCUGGUUGGUCCCUUCCACGCACGCUUUCCUUGGCUCUCAGUUCAAGUGAGGCUGGGGGCACCCGUGAAUGUUUGGAUACAGCCGCGGACUGAAAAAACCCUAGCGGGUUUUGCUAGCUGGUCUGGGUUCAACACCCUUUGAAAGUUUAAUCAGAAGUGGCCAUUAGACUCGCGUAACCCAUUGGUUCCUUAUAGAAAAUGUAAAAGACCCCCAGAGAGCGGGAACAGAUACUUUAUAAUCUUUAAAUGAAGGAAUCCUUUAGGAGACCGAGAAAACAAGCCUAAUAUGUGAUCAGUGGUGGGUCCGAAGACUUCCCAAAAUAUAGGGGGGCAAUUUUCAGGAUCCCAAGUGCACUUGGGCAAACUUUCCAGUUGCCUCCCUUCUCCCCCUCAGAGAAAGUGCAAAGAAAUGCAGAUUAGCCCGCAGACCACCGGGACAAUGCCCAAUUGCCUACUGCUGCUGUCCCAACCCAAGCACUGCCCUACCUCCAAAGGAGGAAGAGGAAGAGAAAGAGGAAGAGACACCAAACAAGAAAGAAACAGCACGGAGGAUAAAGCAAGAACUUAGAAAAUUUCACCACCUCAUAGUGAUCCACAAGCUGCAACCUACCUUCCAAAGGCCGCUUCCAGAAAACUUUAAGUCAUCCUCAAGGAGUCCAUGCAGGGAGCCAGCUUCAGGUCUGCCCCUAGCAAGAUAAGAUAACUGGAGUCUACUAGAGAAGUUAAGUCCCUUCUCCAGCAUCACACAGGUAGAUGCUUAUAGGGCAACUUUGCAGAAGAGGAAACUGAGGCUGAGAAGAAUGAAAAGAUUUGUUACUGAUCAUACAACUAUUACGUGUCAGAGGCAG